AUACGGAGGGUGCAAGCGUUAAUCGGAAUUACUGGGCGUAAAGCGCGCGUAGGCGGUCUAGUCAGUCAGAUGUGAAAGCCCCGGGCUCAACCUGGGAACUGCAUUUGAUACUGCUAGGCUAGAGUAUGGUAGAGGUAAGUGGAAUUCCAGGUGUAGCGGUGAAAUGCGUAGAGAUCUGGAGGAACAUCAGUGGCGAAGGCGGCCACCUGGCCAGAUACUGACGCUGAGGUGCGAAAGCGUGGGGAGCAAACAGGAUUAGAUACCCCGGUAGUCC
rnacentral:rRNA from 1 species